rnacentral:rRNA from 1 species
GACGUAGGGCGCGAGCGUUGUCCGGAUUUAUUGGGCGUAAAGGGCGCGUAGGCGGCGGGGUAAGUCGGGUGUGAAAGUCUCAGAGCUCAACUCUGAAACUGCACUCGAUACUGCUCUGCUUGAGGACUGGAGAGGAGACUGGAAUUCACGGUGUAGCAGUGAAAUGCGUAGAUAUCGUGAGGAAGACCAGUGGCGAAGGCGGGUCUCUGGACAGUUCCUGACGCUGAGGCGCGAAGGCCAGGGGAGCAAACGGG